ensembl:lncRNA
CUGACUGGAAAAAUAUUUUGCUCACAUGUUCUUGAGAAAGAACUCAGGUUCUGGGGUCUGAUGCCCUUGGGGCUUUUACGUCACCACACGAACGAGGUCUCUCCAAGGAAAUGCGGCAUCAAUGACUUUAAAAAUAAAACACCGGGCAGAACGCUUUUGGGAGGAAUGACGACAGGUAUAGCAUCACGACUCUGCUAUUCUUAUUGGUACUAUGCAAGGCACUGGUCUUCAUCUGAAGAUUUAUCAGCAUACAAGACAGAUGUGGUCUCUUGCCUUGGAUCACACAGUUAAUGGAGGAGCUGGAACCAGAAAAAAAACUGUAGAUUUUUAAUUAAAAGAACUUCCAUUAAUCAAAUGCUGACUCUAUACCAGGCCCGAAGUGUUUCACCUACACUAAGUCAUAUAAUCUCUACUUAUGGUAGGGCAGAACACACCUUCCCACUCCUAGGGCCUCCUGGCCCAUCUCUCCUGCCUCCUUUUCUCUGCCCAAGAGGGAAAUGGCUUAUCUGUGUUUGGAAAGAUUAACAGAGCCCAAGUAAUUCAGUCCCAUCUCUUAUCUCUCGUUUUUGGUAGGCAGAACUGGCUGUCUGAAAAAAGUUUGUUCAGCUUUGCUCUUACAGAUCCUAUGGAGAACUGGGGCAGAAGAUCAGCAAGACACAUACUGGGGUUUAAAAUUAGGAAGCCCAGUUUCUCACAUCAGCUUUCUCAUCAAAUGAGUUACUCUGUGUAUAUGUAAUGGAGAAGCAUUUCAUAAAAAUAACAAGUAACUGUGCAC